GGCGAACGCUGGCGGCGUGCUUAACACAUGCAAGUCGAACGGAAAGGCCCUGCUUUUGUGGGGUGCUCGAGUGGCGAACGGGUGAGUAACACGUGAGUAACCUGCCCUUGACUUUGGGAUAACUUCAGGAAACUGGGGCUAAUACCGGAUAGGAGCUCCUGCUGCAUGGUGGGGGUUGGAAAGUUUCGGCGGUUGGGGAUGGACUCGCGGCUUAUCAGCUUGUUGGUGGGGUAGUGGCUUACCAAGGCUUUGACGGGUAGCCGGCCUGAGAGGGUGACCGGCCACAUUGGGACUGAGAUACGGCCCAGACUCCUACGGGAGGCAGCAGUGGGGAAUAUUGCACAAUGGGCGGAAGCCUGAUGCAGCAACGCCGCGUGCGGGAUGACGGCCUUCGGGUUGUAAACCGCUUUCGCCUGUGACGAAGCGUGAGUGACGGUAAUGUGUAAAGAAGCACCGGCUAACUACGUG
rnacentral:rRNA from 1 species